rnacentral:rRNA from 1 species
CGGUGAAUACGUUCCCGGACCUUGCACACACCGCCCGUCAAGCCAUGGAAGCCAGGUGUACCUAAAGUCGGUAACCGUAAGGAGCCGCCUAGGGUAAAACUGGUGACUGGGGCU